rnacentral:rRNA from 1 species
CGGGUGAGUAAUGUAUGGGGAUCUGCCUGAUGGCGGGGGGUAACUACUGGAAACGGUAGCUAAUACCGCAUAAUGUCUGCGGACCAAAGCGGGGGACCUCCGGGCCUCGCGCCAUCAGAUGAACCCAUAUGGGAUUAGCUAGUAGGUAAGGUAACGGCUUACCUAGGCGACGAUCCCUAGCUGGUCUGAGGGGAUGAUCAGCCACACUGGGACUGAGACACGGCCCAG